GUAGGUGAACCUGCGGAAGGAUCAUUACAGAGUUCAUGCCCUCACGGGUAGACCUCCCACCCUUGAAUACUAUACCUUCGUUGCUUUGGCAGGCCGUGGAAACACCACGGGCCUCGGCUAGUGCGUGCCUGCCAGAGGAAACAAACUCUGCUUUUAGUGAUGUCUGAGUACUAUAUAAUAGUUAAAACUUUCAACAACGGAUCUCUUGGUUCUG
rnacentral:misc_RNA from 1 species